rnacentral:misc_RNA from 1 species
UAAUGAAUUGUAAAUGGGGGCUGAUGCUGGCAGUUGAUUCUUCAGCUGCAUUGUGCACGCUUCUAACAAUCUUUAUCCAAACACUUGUGCACCUUUGAAAGAAGGGGGGAAGGUUUUCCCUCUUCUUAUUUACAUACACCGUUUCUAUAAUGUUGAAUGUGAUCUUGUGCCUUUUCCUUUAAGGAGGGCCUAACCUAAUGUUAAUACAACUUUUAACAACGGAUCUCUUGGCUCUCGCAUCGAUGAAGAACGCAGCGAAAUGCGAUAAGUAAUGUGAAUUGCAGAAUUCAGUGAAUCAUCGAAUCUUUGAACGCACCUUGCGCCCCUUGGCUAUUCCGAAGGGCAUGCCUGUUUGAGUAUCAUGAACACCUCAACUCCCGUGGUUUGCCAUGGUGAGCUUGGACUUUGGAGGUUUUGCUGGCCCAUGGUCAGCUCCUCUCAAAUGAAUUAGCCUGCCAGUGUUUGGUGGCAUCACGGGUGUGAUAAAUAUCUACGCUUGCGAUCGCCCACCAGGUAACCUUCAGCGAUGGGGGUUCGCUGGGGCUUAUAGACGUCUCUCCCUCGGCGAGGACGGUUUUUUUAACGUUCG